GGCGAACGGGUGAGUAACACGUGGGUGAUCUGCCCUGCACUUCGGGAUAAGCCUGGGAAAACUGGGUCUAAUACCGGAUAGGAGCCAUUUUUAGUGUGAUGGUUGGAAAGUUUUUCGGUGUAGGAUGAGCUCGCGGCCUAUCAGCUUGUUGGUGGGGUAAUGGCCUACCAAGGCGGCGACGGGUAGCCGGCCUGAGAGGGUGGACGGCCACAUUGGGACUGAGAUACGGCCCAG
rnacentral:rRNA from 1 species